GUAUCCCUUGCCAAAUAUGGCCCCGUCGCCCCCCUCCUAAGGGGAAGGUCGCCCGUUCGAAUCGGGCCGGGGUCACCA
rnacentral:tRNA from 1 species